GAUGAACGCUGACAGAAUGCUUAACACAUGCAAGUCGAUUCGAUUUACCUUCGGGUAUUGAGGAUGGCGGACGGGUGAGUAACGCGUAAGGAACUUGCCUCUUGGUCUGGGACAACUGUUGGAAACGACAGCUAAUACCGGAUAUUAUGAGAUUCUCGCAUGGGAAACUUAUGAAAGCUAUAUGCGCCAAGAGAGAGCCUUGCGUUCCAUUAGCUAGUUGGUGGGGUAACGGCCCACCAAGGCGACGAUGGAUAGCCGGCCUGAGAGGGUGAACGGCCACAAGGGGACUGAGACACGGCCCUUACUCCUACGGGAGGCAGCAGUGGGGAAUAUUGGACAAUGGGCCACAAGCCUGAUCCAGCAAUUCUGUGUGCACGAUGAAGGUCUUCGGAUUGUAAAGUGCUUUCAGUUGGGAAGAAGAAAGUGACGGUACCAACAGAAGAAGCGACGGCUAAAUACGUGCCAGCAGCCGCGGUAAUACGUAUGUCGCAAGCGUUAUCCGGAUUUAUUGGGCGUAAAGCGCGUCUAGGCGGAAAAAUAAGUCUGAUGUUAAAAUGCGGGGCUCAACUCCGUAUUGCGUUGGAAACUGUUUUUCUAGAGUACUGGAGAGGUGGGCGGAACUACAAGUGUAGAGGUGAAAUUCGUAGAUAUUUGUAGGAAUGCCGAUGGAGAAGUCAGCUCACUGGACAGAUACUGACGCUAAAGCGCGAAAGCGUGGGGAGCAAACAGGAUUAGAUACCCUGGUAGUCCACGCCGUAAACGAUGAUCACUAG
rnacentral:rRNA from 1 species